UGCUUUGCUACUAGCAUGCAAGAUUUGGAAAUUUAAUUAUUAGGAAAUUAACGAAACAAGGUCUUUAUGAAGCAUCUACACUUGAGUAGAAUUUGUUUACCAUACUAUUCUUUUUGUCUCUCAAUCUUCUUCUUUUUGUCUUUUUAAGAGGAAGAUGACUCAACGUUCUGUGAAAAUUUCUCAUCAUUUACAUGAAGAUGCUUCUUUGGCCCAGAUGUUAGGAAUACAUGCAGGUCUAUUUCAUGUCUCUGGCACUUGCUGUAUGACAUCACUAAUAACUGAUUCUAAGUAAAACGGUAAAGAAAAAGUGAAAUUGAUUCUGAGUCCAAGUGCUGAUAAAUUGGUGUAAGAACAGACUUCUAAAAAGCACCGAAAUUAAAUGAAGAAAAUGCAAAGACUUACUUGUAAAAUCCUGAACAUUUCCCAACUAAAACUUCUCCUUCUUUCCUGUCUGUGCAAAAAUGCUGAGAAAGCUGCAAGAUAAUCAGUUUUUUUUUCUUUCAGGCUUACAUUGCAAGCAUUGAUUACUACAGAGAGAAUUAUCAUUGCAACCAAGUGAGUACUGACACUAAUGGCAGUACUACAACUCAAUGGAGUUCCAUCUGCUUACAGUAAAUUUGUCUUUGGCUAUGAGACUGAAAAAAAUGAGACAGACUGCUCAUGUGAGCUAGUUAAGAUGAGAUCAUCCUCACUUUUUGUCUCUGCAUGUACGUACACACACACAAGUAGUAAAUCACAUCCCUAAGCAGCAAAGUUGUUCUUAAGAAAACAUUGAACUGUGCUGUUCCUUAGUUACUGGGACUGUUUGCUUUUACAGAGUCAGAGAUAGAAGUGUGGCACACCAAAAAUGACACACUGCUCAAGCCAAAAACUGACGUUCUUGGAAGCAUCACGAUAACCUUCAGCAGUUUAAUCUUCCUCCCUAAACUCCAAAGAUAGAAAGCAUUAUCUGAAAGUGCACUUCCAACACUUCGUAUGAAGGGUAGCAAGCUGAUCAGCCAGGUGCUUUCAAAGCAAUCCAAGACUCCAUUCAACUGCAUUUGAAGCGCCUACAAACCUGUCAUAGAAUCAUUAAGGUUGAAAAAGGUGUCUCAGAUCAUUGAGUCCAACCCCAGACCAUGUGGGUCAUGUGGUGGAAGAUCAUAUUUUUAGCACAAGUAGAAAUGAAAUAAUAAGAACAAGUGUAUGUACAACAGGGUAACAUCAGUUAAGCAGUUAACAGCCCCAUGCCUGUUUGAAAUAGAUUUGUGCCCAAGGAGCAGUGUAUGUAAUUCUUCACCAUGUGAAAAGCCUCCUAAGUAUACAUUGAUCCAAUACUAAUUUAAGCAACACAUCUCAUCCCUUCAAAAAAGCUUGCAAUUAAGAGGCCUUGAGAUGAGGAAAAAAAGGCUCUCACUGACUUUAGUAUCUUAUUUUCAAGUGCUUCUGUCUUUUCAUGUUGUAAAUAGAGAACUCGGGAGCCUCUCAGUUCUUGCUUUUAAUCUGGGACCAGGCAGCAUCCAAUGACAGCAACUGCAAUUUCCUUGUUUGCAGCAUGAAAAACAACAAAAACAGAAAAGGAAGUAAAAAUCCAUGACUACUCUUCCACCUUCUUUAAUACCACAUGAAUCCUGACAUCCUCCAUAGUCCUUGGUUCAACCAAAUCUUUCACUUGCUCAAAACUCCUCCAAGCAGCUGCAAUUGGUUUGUGGCUUUAAAAGGUAAAACAGUUAUCUAUUAUGAAGCAAGGAAAACGAGAGCUCAAAAAUAUGCAUCAAUGAGCAGAAAAGUGGCUAGUUUUUUCAAUUUCACAGCAUCCUUAACUAUCACAGCUGCAGUAUCCUUAGAGAUGAGCAGCCUGACAUUAAGUUAGAUCCAGUGAACAGGAAGCAGCACCUAGCUUCAUUUCAUGCUAUGCUGCUGGGAUUUAUAUUUUUGUAAGCAGCUUUGGAAAUGGAGACAGUUAAACAGAUAGAGUUGGUAACGCACAGUAGAGUUCCCCUCCACAGUGAAGCAAAAGCAUCUCUUGCAGUUUAAAUUGCCUCUGGCUCAAAGCAUACAGUUCACCCAGAGCCAAAUGUGUCACAAUGUCUGUCACCAACCUCAUCAAAAAUCUGGCUGAUCCUUAGGUUUUUUAAGCAUAAAUACAAAUUAUUCACUGCAGAGGACAAAUAUGACCUUACAGGUAAAAUAAACCUUGAGAGACCGCUCGUGUUAGAAUACGCUGCAUUCUUACCUUCUGUGAUUUCCAUGAUUGCCCCACCAAAGUAAGCUAAGGCGCAGAAAGGCUUCGGAAGAUACAACUCCAAUAACCCAUGUUGAUACAGAUUGUAGAAAUUAGGAAGGAAAAACAGAAGAGUGAAUCCAUUAAUAGCUUGUCAAUGUUCUCACAAGCACGUUUUCAAAAUCUAUGCAAUAUUUAGCCAUAUUUUCCCACACCUCGUCACAACACGAGCUUCAGGUACAGAACCCCCUGUGAGAGUGUUAAAAUCACCCAGAGACAGAAUAGAUGACAUUAUAGUUCUUGUAUUUUGUGUUACUUAUAGUUCUUGUAUUUUGUGUUAUUUUUAAUUGGAUUACACUUGGAUGACACACGAUGAAGUACCAGACUUCAUUAAUUUGACAAACCUACUUUCUCUAAAGCAUUUUGUCUAUACACUGAGAGCUAUUAGGUCUCUUCAGCAGCUCGCUAAGUAUUCACAUGCUGAGGGGAGAGAAACAAAGCAUUCUGCAAUGACUUAGGUUCAUGCUCUUAAAUUGCAACCCAAGAAGAUACAGGAGGAGGAGCACCAGGAGAAGGAGGCCGUGAGCCUAACAAGCCUUCUAGAAAGAAGAAAUGGAAUGAAGAUACAUUAAAUGUAAAUGGAAUUCCAUUUUUAGCAUGUGGUCAGUGAACUCAUAUGCGUGAAAAAUUGGAAUGGCUGGAAAUCAGCUGUGCUACCAAAUGGAAAAUCUCAGAAGAAAGCACGCUAUUGCUCAGCUCUGCAGAUUUACAUAAGCAAGAAGACAUCUUUCAGCAACUUGCAUCCAUUUUCUCAUCCUAGCAGUGCAUAUCCAAUGUUUUAACUUGGGUGCUGAAAUCACUCAAAGUAGAAAACGUGGGUCCAAAAAACAACAAAAAGAAGUGAGAAGACUAAGAUCAAACACGGUGCCUAUGAUCCAGAAAGAAAAGAAUGCUUAAAUGUGUACUUGAGCAUUUCAAAUUAAGGAGACAUGAUUUAAAGUGAACAAACAAAUGAAGAUGUACCAGUAAAGAUAAUGCAUCUCGAUUGGAAAAUGACAAUCUAGAUUUUGACCCUGAAGUACUCAGUCUGAAAACCUCAUGGGUACACACUGCUGUAAUCUUUGUUCUAAGCUGGCUGGAAUCAGCUUUACAGUAAGCUGUUGUUUUUUUUGUUUUGGUCUCAGUUUAAGAUUCUCUUUUUAAAUGGUAGUUUAAAAUAUGCAUAAUUAUUUAUCAAAAUAUUCAGUAUUAAGAAAUUCUAAUUUUACUUGAUGAAAAUUCACGUUAAUAGUAGAGUUUUUCUCUUCUUUAGCACAACGUUGAAUAAACCCACCUGGCCAUUCCAUAUUUAGCUAUACUACAUUUCUUCAUUUUUCAAUAUGAAGCUUGGAAUUGUCAGAAGAGGAAUCUCUCUAAAAAUCUAUUUUACACUGCCUUGUUGCUCUGGAUAUUGUACCCAGGAUAGAACUGUCAACUGCUCCUCUGAAAGUAACGGGAGGAAGGAGAAAAAUAGAUCAAGGAAAGCAUAUGAAACUGAGGAUUCAGAAAAAGGAAGAAAGAAUGAGGGAUGUUGAACGUUACACAGAGAGCCAUUCAGCAUUUAGCAUGAUUCUGCAGAGAGCCUCUCACAGGGUUUGACAAGCAGCUUUAUCCGCUUUUAAGUCAGGUCAUCCAAUCUCAUCCCAUAAGUCAACACAAUGCAAAAGUUAAAGUCAUUCAACUAAAGCUGUGACAACCUUUGAUGCAGAAGACGG